rnacentral:rRNA from 1 species
GAUGAACGCUAGCUACAGGCUUAACACAUGCAAGUCGAGGGGUAACGAGAGGAAAGCUUGCUUUCCUUGUCGACGACCGGCGCACGGGUGAGUAACGCGUAUCCAACCUGCCCCCAACUAGGGAAUAACCUUGCGAAAGUAAGACUAAUACCCUAUAAUUUCCUCAGAUGUCAUCUGACGAGGAAUAAAGAUUUAUCGGUUGUGGAUGGGGAUGGGUCUGAUUAGCUUGUUGGCGGGGUAACGGCCCACAAAGGCCACGAUCAGUAGGGGUUCUGAGGGGAAGGUCCCCCACAUUGGAACUGAGACACGGUCCACACUCCUAAGGGAGGCAGCAGUGAGGAAUAUUGGUCAAUGGGCGGAAGCCUCAACCAGCCAAGUAGCUUGCAGGAUGACGGCCCUAUGGGUUGUAAACUGCUUUUAUACAGGAAUAAAGUUAGCCACGUGUGGUUAUUUGUAGGUACUGUAUGAAUAAGGACCGGCUAAUUCCGUGCCAGCCGCCGCCGUAA